rnacentral:rRNA from 1 species
CAGCAGCCGCGGUAAUACGGAGGGUGCAAGCGUUAAUCGGAAUUACUGGGCGUAAAGCGUGCGUAGGCGGUUCGUUAAGUCUGUUGUGAAAGCCCCAGGCUCAACCUGGGAAUGGCAAUGGAUACUGGCGAGCUAGAGUGUGUCAGAGGAUGGUGGAAUUCCCGGUGUAGCGGUGAAAUGCGUAGAGAUCGGGAGGAACAUCAGUGGCGAAGGCGGCCAUCUGGGACAACACUGACGCUGAGGCACGAAAGCGUGGGGAGCAAACAGGAUUAGAUACCCCAGUAGUCCCUGUCUCUUAUAC